rnacentral:rRNA from 1 species
UACGAGGGGGGCAAGCGUUGUUCGGAAUUAUUGGGCGUAAAGGGUGCGUAGGCGGUCUGACAAGUCUGAUGUGAAAUCUAUGGGCUCAACCCAUAGUCUGCAUCGGAAACUGUCGGGCUUGAGUAUGGGAGAGGUGAGUGGAAUUUCCGGUGUAGCGGUGAAAUGCGUAGAGACCGGAGGAACACCAGUGGCGAAGGCGGCUC